UACGGGGGGGGCAAGCGUUGUUCGGAAUUACUGGGCGUAAAGGGCUCGUAGGCGGCCAACUAAGUCGGAUGUGAAAUCCCCAGGCUCAACCUGGGAACUGCAUCCGAUACUGGAUGGCUUGAAUCCGGGAGAGGGAUGCAGAAUUCCAGGUGUAGCGGUGAAAUGCGUAGAUAUCUGGAGGAAUACCGGUGGCGAAGGCGGCAUCCUGGACCGGCAUUGACGCUGAGGCGCGAAAGCCAGGGGAGCAAACGGG
rnacentral:rRNA from 1 species